ACCCGCGCCCUGCGUCGGAGCCCUUGGACUUGCCUCGCGCGGCGAGGUUGUGCUGGUCUGCAAGGCCGAGCCCCUUCCCUAGGGCUCCUACACUCACAAAGCCUCAAGCUGGGUUCUCUGCUUGUAAAGUCUGCCCAGAGAAUGCAAAUUAUUGGCCAGAGCAAAAGAAAAUCAAGAAGAAAAAGUCUGCUAAAAAGCGCCACUUACUGAACAUUUCCCUUUGUGUCCUCAUCUAAUCUGUACAAUGACCCAGUGAAGAAUUUAGAUGGGAAAAGUCUCAGAGACAGCAGAUGAUGUCCCUGUGGUCUCAGGUCGUCCAGUAGGUGGGUGAACUGGGACUUGAAAUCAGGUCUGAUGUCCAGAUCUGCUCCUGACUGCUAUGGUACAGUGUCAUAAAAAACAAAGGAUGGCCAAGCUCAUGGACUCUAGUGAUACAAGUUGGAUGGAUAUUGAUGAAAUGGUCAAAAGAGCCCCACAGUGGAUGUGUUAUCUUGGGCAAAUGGCUAAACCUCUCUCGGUUUCCUCAAGUGUUGGUGUCUCCUUCAUAGGGUGUUUGUAAAUAAAUGAAAUAAUGAGUAUGAAAGCUAUUACCCAAUGCCUGGCACACAGUGAAUGUUUGAUAACUGGAAAGAACACUAAUUUUUAGAUUGAAUGGAUCCCAUUUAGAAAAACAAAAUAUUUUAGAGUUGCAUUUUUUAAUGAAAAGAAAA
rnacentral:lncRNA from 1 species